rnacentral:tRNA from 2 species
GCGCCCGUAGCUCAGUUGGAUAGAGCGCCUGGCUACGAACCAGGAGGUCGGGAGUUCGAAUCUCUCCGGGCGCACCA